AGAGACAGCAGUAGCCGCGGUAAUACGAAGGGUGCAAGCGUUAAUCGGAAUUACUGGGCGUAAAGCGUGCGUAGGCGGUGAGUUAAGUCUGUUGUGAAAUCCCCGGGCUCAACCUGGGAAUUGCAGUGGAUACUGGGUCACUAGAGUGUGUAGAGGAUAGUGGAAUUUCCGGUGUAGCAGUGAAAUGCGUAGAGAUCGGAAGGAACAUCUGUGGCGAAGGCGACUAUCUGGGCCAACACUGACACUGAGGCACGAAAGCGUGGGGAGCAAACAGGAUUAGAUACCCGCGUAGUCCCUGUCUCUUAUACA
rnacentral:rRNA from 1 species